rnacentral:lncRNA from 13 species
UGAUUGAGCACACCUGUGCCCCUUCUUAGAGAUGAGGAGCACAUGGUGUAUUCCAGGUGCAAGCCAGACCAGGGAGAGAGUCACACUGAGAGUCUCGAUGGGGUUUCAAGAAACUUCAGCCCUGCCUGCAUUUACCAUUUCAUCUAGCUGCUUCACAAUGGACUAAGAGUGCUUGAGGAGCAGUGGGCCUGCGGGUCCCGUCGUGUGAG